rnacentral:rRNA from 1 species
UACAGAGGUCUCAAGCGUUGUUCGGGUUCAUUGGGCGUAAAGGGUGUGUAGGUGGCGCGCUAAGUCGGGUGUGAAAUUUCGGAGCUUAACUCCGAAACUGCAUUCGAUACUGGCGUGCUUGAGGACUGGAGAGGAGACUGGAAUUCAUGGUGUAGCAGUGAAAUGCGUAGAGAUCAUGAGGAAGACCAGUGGCGAAGGCGGGUCUCUGGACAGUUCCUGACACUGAGACACGAAAGCGUGGGGAGCGAACAGG